rnacentral:rRNA from 1 species
CACGUAGGGCGCAAGCGUUGUCCGGAAUUAUUGGGCGUAAAGAGCUCGUAGGUGGUUUGUUACGUCUGCUGUGAAAUCCCUCGGCUUAACCGGGGAACUGCGUCUGAUACUGGAGGGCUUGAGUGCGGGAGAGGGAUGUGGAAUUCCAGGUGUAGCGGUGAAAUGCGUAGAUAUCAGGAGGAACACCGGUGGUGUAGACGGCUUUCUGGACCAUAACUGACGCUGAGACACGAAAAGCGUGGGUAGCAAACAGG